CGCCUUCGGGCCUGCCGCCUGGAGAUUGGCCCGCGUCCCAUUAGCUUGUUGGCGGGGUAAAGGCCCACCAAGGCGACGAUGGGUAGCCGGCCUGAGAGGGUGUCCGGCCACACUGGGAUUGAGAUACGGCCCAGACUCCUUCGGGAGGCAGCAGUCGAGAAUCUUCCCCAAUGGGCGAAAGCCUGAGGGAGCGACGCCGCGUGAGGGAUGAAGGCCCUUUGGGUUGUAAACCUCUGUUAGGGGGAAAGAAAAGCAGUGGAAGCAAUAUGUCCAUUGCCUGACGUUACCCCCAGAGAAAGCUCCGGCCAACUCCGUGCCAGCAGCCGCGGUAAUACGGGGGGAGCAAGCGUUGUCCGGAAUCAUUGGGCGUAAAGGGCGUGUAGGCGGCUUGGCAAGUCGAAUGUGAAAUCCCACGGCUCAACCGUGGAACUGCGUUCGAAACUGCCUUGCUUGAGUGCGGGAGAGGUGUGCGGAAUUCCUGGUGUAGCGGUGGAAUGCGUAGAUAUCAGGAAGAACACCGGUGGCGAAGGCGGCACACUGGCCCAGCACUGACGCUGAGGCGCGAAAGCGUGGGGAGCGAACGGGAUUAGAUACCCCGGUAGUCCACGCUGUAAACUUUGGGCACUAGGUAUUGGAGGUCUCAACCCCUUCAGUGCCGUAGCUAACGCGUUAAGUGCCCCGCCUGGGGAGUACGGUCGCAAGGCUGAAACUCAAAGGAAUUGACGGGGGCCCGCACAAGCGGUGGAGCAUGUGGUUUAAUUCGAUGCAACGCGAAGAACCUUACCGGGGUUUGACAUGGGAGCCUCGCCGCAAGGCGAGGUCAGCCCUAUGAAAGUAGGGUGUGUCCACACAGGUGCUGCAUGGCUGUCGUCAGCUCGUGUCAUGAGAUGUUGGGUUAAGUCCCGCAACGAGCGCAACCCUCGCCGAUAGUUACCAACGGGUCAUGCCGGGGACUCUAUCGAGACUGCCGGUGAUAAACCGGAGGAAGGUGGGGAUGAUGUCAAGUCAUCAUGGCCCUUACAUCCCGGGCUACACACGUGCUACAAUGGUCGGUACAGCGGGUUGCAAUACCGCGAGGUGGAGCAAAUCCUCAAAGCCGGCCUCAGUACGGAUUGGAGUCUGCAACUCGACUCCAUGAAGCCGGAAUCGCUAGUAAUCGCGGAUCAGAAUGCCGCGGUGAAUACGUUCCCGGGCCUUGUACACACCGCCCGUCAAGCCAUGGGAAUCGGCAGCACUCGAAGUC
rnacentral:rRNA from 1 species